rnacentral:rRNA from 1 species
AUUGAACGCUGGCGGCAUGCCUUACACAUGCAAGUCGAACGGCAGCACGGGAGCUUGCUCCUGGUGGCGAGUGGCGAACGGGUGAGUAAUACAUCGGAACGUACCCAGUAGUGGGGGAUAACGCACCGAAAGGUGCGCUAAUACCGCAUACGACCUACGGGUGAAAGCGGGGGACCGUAAGGCCUCGCGCUAUUGGAGCGGCCGAUGUCUGAUUAGCUAGUUGGCGGGGUAAAAGCCCACCAAGGCGACGAUCAGUAGCUGGUCUGAGAGGACGAUCAGCCACACUGGGACUGAGACACGGCCCAGACUCCUACGGGAGGCAGCAGUGGGGAAUUUUGGACAAUGGGGGCAACCCUGAUCCAGCAAUGCCGCGUGUGCGAAGAAGGCCUUCGGGUUGCAAAGCACUUUUGUCAGGGAAGAAAUCUUUCAGGCUAAUACCCUUGGAAGGAUGACGGUACCUGAAGAAUAAGCACCGGCUAACUACGUGCCAGCAGCCGCCGCGG